rnacentral:rRNA from 1 species
AUGAUUUUCAUCCGUAAUGGCGCACAGCUCCACUCCACCCAAGGUUUCAGGCAGCACUAUCCAAGAUGUCUCACACCGUCGCCGCCGCAGCAAUCUGUCGUCGAAGUCGCGCAGCAAUGGAUCUCCUCCACCCGCACUGCCGAGGGAGCGCAACCAAGACCAACAGCAACAACACGGUCGAAGAGCAACCGCAACCAGCCAUGCAGUGCAAGGGCCAAAUCAACCGCAUCGGCCUUCACCCACACCAGGGACUGCCACCAGAUCCGAUCUGACCCACACCUCCGAGCACACCCCCGCGCCAGCUCUCCCGAGGCAGCACUGAGCGCCCCUCACAUGGAGGCAGCAGCCCGCCCGCUGCCCGCCAGGGCCCUUCCUGGCAGGGCCUCCAUGGCGCCGCCGCCCCCAUGGCUGAGCAUGCGCCGCCGCCGCCAGCAGUGCUGGCGCAACAUCCUCGACCACCACCCUGCAGCGCACCUCGCCGGCUCCACCGCCCUGCCUUGCCGCGCUCCCCGCCAUGCUCCGGUGAUCGUCGCCACGAAUCGUGCCGCCGGCCACCUCACCACCAUGGCUGCCCGGGGACGUCCCGCUCCGCGCGAAGGGGUGCCGUCGAGGGGCUCAGCCAGCACCCGCCGCCUUCGUCGGCCGGGCGCGGCCGCCGGCGGCGGCGCCGGCCUGGGGAGGGGAUCUGAGGAGGGGCUGGGCCUAGGGUUUGGGGAGCCUCCGGAGCCGCACGCGCGUGCGACCCAGGAGGCGAGUGUUGUUUUUCACCACCCCUACACUAGAAUGUAA